AAGAACGAAAGAAAGAAAGAAAGAUGUGUUCUUUAGGAGUCUUGGUGUUGACUCUUUCAAGCUUUCUUUGCUUGUUACUGGUCUUAGUUCUCAUAAAGAUCCUUCACAAGCUAUGGUGGACUCCAACUCGCAUGCAGAAGCAGAUGGGUCUGCAGGGGAUCCAAGGCCCUCCUUACAGACUCAUCCACGGAAACAACAAAGAAAUUUCCCAGAUGAUGAAAGAAGCCAUGGCCAGGCCCAAAAGUAUAUCCCACGACACACUUCCUUUAGUCCAACCUCACAUUCACUACUGGACCAAGAUUUAUGGAAAGAAUUAUCUGCAGUGGCAUGGUUCUCAAGCUCAAUUGGUGAUCACAGAACCCGAAUUGUGCAAACAGAUACUGAAUAACAAAGAUGGAGCUUAUCCAAAAAAAGAGGUCCAAAACUUUGUAAAGAAGCUAUUAGGAGAUGGCCUGGUGUCAACAACCAAAGCUGAAAAAUGGGAAAAAUUGAGAAAGUUGGCCACUCUUUACUUCCAUGGAGAGAGCUUAAAAAGUAUGAUUCCAGCAAUGGUAGCUAGUACUGAGACAAUGCUAGGAAGGUGGACAAAUUAUGAAGGAAAAGAGAUUGAUGUGCUUCAAGAGUUUAGGUUGUUGACUUCAGAAGUGAUUUCCAGAACAGCUUUUGGCAGCAGCUAUAUCGAAGGAAAGCAUAUUUUUGAGAUGUUGACCAAGUUAGGCUUCAUAAUCUACCAAAAUUAUCUUGCAAUCAGGGUUCCUGUCAUUAGUAAGUUCUUCAAAACCAGUGAUGAGAUAGAAUCGGACAAACUUGAGAAAGGUAUACGGGACUCUAUAAUAGAGAUUAUUAAGACAAGAGAAGAGAAGGCAAUGUCCGGAGUAGAAGACAGAUUUGGAAGUGAUUAUCUUGGAUUACUUGUAAAGGCUCAACAUGAUGCCAAUGACAGCCAGAGGAUUUCGGUGGACGAAGUAGUUGAUGAUUGCAAGACGUUUUACAUGUCCGGACAAGAAACUACUACUACUUUGCUUUCUUGGACUGUGUUGCUUCUGGCAAUCCAUACAGAUUGGCAAGAGGAAGCAAGAAAGGAGGUCAUACAAUUAUUUGGCAAAGAAACUCCACAUCCCGAUGGCAUUUCCAAACUGAAAACAAUUAGUAUGAUCAUUAAUGAGUCUCUAAGGUUAUAUCCUCCACCUGUUUCAAUUAUAAGGAAAGUUGAAAAAGAAGUUAGACUGGGAAAGCUCACUCUUCCUCCUAAUCUUGACUUGGUUAUCUCAACCAUAGCAAUUCACCAUGAUCCUGAAAUCUGGGGACAGGAUGUGCAUCUUUUCAAACCCGAGAGAUUCUUGGAAGGGGUUGCUAAGGCAACUAACAAUAACAUAGGUGCAUUCAUACCAUUUGGAUUGGGACCUCGAACUUGUGUGGGCUUGAACUUUGGCUCCACUGAAGCAAAAAUUGCUCUGUCAAUGACUACUCAUUCACCCUUUCCCCGGGUUAUGUUCACUUUCCCUUGCAUUAUCUUACAGUUCGGCCGCAGCUUGGAGUUCAGGUAAUGCUACACUCACUUUGAACUGCGAACACAAUGAUGUAUGGAUUGCGCCAUGAUUCUUGCGCUUGGUGUUGGUGUAUCAAGUACCUGGACAUUGAUGGCUUUGGAUAUACUGCUAGCUUAUAAACAGUGCAAGUGAUACACUGAUUGAUUGUCAAGAAUUUUUAUUAAAAUAAAUAACCAA